rnacentral:rRNA from 1 species
CAGCCGCCACGGUAAAACGGAGGGGGCUAGCGUUGUUCGGAAUUGCUGGGCGUAAAGCGCACGUAGGCGGCUUUGUAAGUUAGAGGUGAAAGCCUGGGGCUCAACUCCAGAAUUGCCUUUAAGACUGCAUCGCUUGAACGUCGGAGAGGUGAGUGGAAUUCCGAGUGUAGAGGUGAAAUUCGUAGAUAUUCGGAAGAACACCAGUGGCGAAGGCGGCUCACUGGACGACUGUUGACGCUGAGGUGCGAAAGCGUGGGGAGCAAACAGGAUUAGAUACCCCCGUAGUCCCUGUCUCUUAUAA